rnacentral:lncRNA from 1 species
CAUGGACAACCUCACCAUCUUCACAGAAUUCCUCCUCAAUGAUGUUGCAGGCUCUUGGGAGCUCCGAGUUCUGCAAGGCCCCUUCUGCUGCAUCUGCUGAAUCCCUUUCCUAAUUCAGUGAAAAUCAACACACAAAAAAGCUGACUUUCAAAAAAACUAUAACUUGGAAGUGUUUGGUUUCUCCCUAUAAUCCAGAUGAAAACAUGCAGGCCAUGCUCAAUCCAUUCAAACUUUGUUCCCAUGAAGAAUAUGAAUCAGAGUGAAGCAUGGAGAAAGAAAGAAAGUCCUCUCUAGGAAAACCUCACUAUCUUGGCACUGGUGUCCAUUUAGCCCCAACCCAGCACUGGAACAACAGGAGCAUAAGGCUCCCUGUGUCUCCAUACUUAUUCCUCCUGGCAGAAGCCAGUGGUGUUUGGCUCCAUGGACCUGCUAUCAUACAGAGCUCACAUCCUGCUGAGGGUCUGGAUGGGACUCACCUUCCUCUGAUGCCUGAGAUACCUCAACUCUCAAUGUUUCAUCACCGAGGUGGCUCCAUCUCUUCUCCAGCUUCAUCUAG